rnacentral:rRNA from 1 species
CGCCCGCUCAGAAACUCAAAGGAAGUUGACGGGGCCCGCACAAGCGGUGGAGUAUGUGGUUUAAUUCGAUGCAACGCGAAGAACCUUACCUGGUCUUGACAUCCCGGAGACCCUUAGGAAACUAGGGGGUGCUUCCAUCUGGAAGAAUCUGGAGACAGGUGCUGCAUGGCUGUCGUCAGCUCGUGUCGUGAGAUGUUGGGUUAAGUCCCGCAACGAGCGCAACCCUUGCCUUUAGUUGCCAGCAGUUCGGCUGGGCACUCUAAAGGGACUGCCGGUGUUAAACCGGAGGAAGGUGGGGAUGACGUCAAGUCCUCAUGGCCUUUAUGACCAGGGCUACACACGUACUACAAUGGCCGAUACAAAGGGCAGCGACACUGCGAGGUGAAGCCAAUCCCGUAAAAUCGGUCUCAGUCCGGAUUGGAGUCUGCAACUCGACUCCAUGAAGUUGGAAUCGCUAGUAAUCGUGGAUCAGCAUGCCACGGUGAAUACGUUCCCGGGCCUU